GCCUGCUUCGGCAGCACAUACACUAAAAUUGGAAUGAUACAGAGAAGAUUAGCAUGGCCCCUGCGCAAGGAUGACACGCAAAUCCAUGAAGCGUUCCAUAUUUUU
rnacentral:snRNA from 1 species